rnacentral:rRNA from 1 species
CCUACGGGAGGCAGCAGUAGGGAAUCUUCCACAAUGGACGAAAGUCUGAUGGAGCAACGCCGCGUGAGUGAAGAAGGGUUUCGGCUCGUAAAGCUCUGUUGGUAGGGAAGAAAGAUAGAGGGAGUAACUGGCCUUUAGUUGACGGUAAGUACGGAGAAAGGCAAGGCUAACUAAGUGCAAGCAGCCGCGGUAAUACGUAGGUGGCAAGCGUUGUCCGGAUUUAUUGGGCGUAACCCGAGUGCAGGCGGUUCACUAAGUCUGAUGUGAAAGCCUUCGGCUCAACCGGAGAAUUGCAUCCGAAACUUUUGAACUUGAGUGCAGAAGAGGAGAGUGGAACUCCAUGUGUAGCGGUGGAAUGCGUAGAUAUAUG